rnacentral:misc_RNA from 1 species
AUCUUCGUAAGGAGCUGAUUCACAAUGCUGUCAUGUACUCCAGUACCAUCCCUCGUUGACCCUCUAGACUUGCAAAUAGCAUCAAUCUCAUCAAAAAUGAUGACAUGCAAGUCACUCUGAUCACCUCGAGCUCUCUGGUCUUCCUCAGCAUCAGCAAAUAAGUCUCUCACAUUUUUCUCCGUCUCUCCGACAAAUUUGCUUAGGACUUCAGGCCCAUUAACAAUCUUAGGUUCUCUUCCGUUCAACAAUUUCCCG